CUCUAAUGCUCUGAGCUGGAAAAAAAACAAGAGCUCUCUGUAAAAAUACAAAAACAGCUGCUAAAUCAUCUCAAGCAGAUGAUUUUGUUUUGGGUGUGCAAAAAAGCCGGCUUAUGAGAGCAGCAAAAAUCCAACAAAAAUUCAAGCGAAUUCAAAGGAAAUGAGAUAUGCAAAAUGUUUGCUCAUUUUGGUAAUCAGCAGACAAGCUGUUGCUGCUGCAAAGCACAGACUCUGCUCGCUGCACAGCCACAUACAUGGCCACACUUGGCCAUGACAAAGGAAUAACCCAAGCAAGACCAUUAGCGUGCAUUGUCUCCCUGAAGCAAGUGUUGGGUCCAUCCUUCUCUUGUUGCGCUCUGCCAAAAUCUGCACAAUUCUCCAAAAACCACACACACACAGUUGGCUGGCGGCGGAGAACACUUGUCGCCGCGCCGCCACCCCAUAUGCAUGCAGGGCAAAUCGAGCAGAAGCUGAAAACUAUAAGCGUAAAAUCCCACAAUGCCCACAUAGGCGAUGACUAUUUCUGCUAAACGGCGGCAAACCUUACUCAACAUAGAACCCAGAAUGCCAUUCGCCCAACGUUUGUCAAGUUAGACCAAACGCUAAGAUACGUACACCUGAACUGAGCAGUACGUGCCAUUCGUCCCAACCGGAGCAUUAGUUUUCUAUUGAGUGCAUGCAGUUCCCUUGAAAGAUAAUAAAAGAGCAAAAAUAUAAUACAAAAAAUCAAAUUCAGUCCAUACUACAACGACACACAUCCGUCAUUUGUUCAAAAGCAAAAAAAAAAAAAAAAAAAAUUUUUUUGAAACUUCAAAAAAUUGUGACUAGAAAAAAAAAACAAAACUAAUAUUUUUGACCUAAACCAACAACGCUCAAUUUACACAGGCAAAAAAAAAUAUUUUUUCAAAAAAAAACUUGAAAAAAUAAAAAAAAAAAAAAUAUUUUUAAAUAAAACCCUAUAGCAAAUUGUUGUGAAAUAUUUAGAAGGUGAAAAAAAAAUAA